CCUACGGGAGGCAGCAGUGGGGAAUAUUGCACAAUGGGGGAAACCCUGAUGCAGCAACGCCGCGUGAGUGAAGAAGUAUUUCGGUAUGUAAAGCUCUAUCAGCAGGGAAGAAAAUGACAGUACCUGACUAAGAAGCCCCGGCUAACUACGUGCCAGCAGCCGCGGUAAUACGUAGGGGGCAAGCGUUAUCCGGAUUUACUGGGUGUAAAGGGAGCGUAGACGGCUGCGCAAGUCAGAAGGGAAAGCCCGGGGCUCAACCGCGGGACUGCUUUUGAAACUGUGUAGCUAGGGUGCAGGAGAGGUAAGUGGAAUUCCUAGUGUAGCGGUGAAAUGCGUAGAUAUUAGGAGGAACACCGGUGGCGAAGGCGGCUUACUGGACUGUAACUGACGUUGAGGCUCGAAAGCGUGGGGAGCAAACAGGAUUAGAUACCCUUGUAGUC
rnacentral:rRNA from 1 species